GCCGCGGUAAUUCCAACUCCAAUAGCGUAUAUUUAAGUUGUUGCAGUUAAAAAGCUCGUAGUUGGAUCUUGGGUCGUAAAGGUCGGUCCGCCUACUCGGUGUGCACCUUCCCUUCCGUCCCUUUUGCCGGCGGCGUGCUCCUGGCCUUAAUUGGCUGGGUCGCGGUUCCGGCGUUGUUACUUUGAAAAAAUUAGAGUGCUCAAAGCAAGCUUAUGCUCUGAAUACAUUAGCAUGUGAUAACGCGAUAGGAGUCUGGUCCUAUUGUGUUGGCCUUCGGGACCGGAGUAAUGAUUAAUAGGGACUGUCGCGGGCAUUCAUAUUUCAUUGUCAGAGGUGAAAUUCUUGGAUUUAUGAAAGACGAACCACUGCAAAAGCAUUUGCCAAGGAUGUUUUCAUUAAUCAAGAACGAAAGUUGGGGGCUCAAAGACGAUCAGAUACCGUCCUAGUCUCAACCAUAAAUGAUGCCGACCAGGGAUCGGUGGAUGUUGCUCUAAGGACUCCGCCAGCACCUUCUAAGAAAUCAGAGUGUUUGGGUUUCGGGGGGAGUAUGGUCGCAAGGCUGAAACUUAAAGGAAUUGACAGAAGGGCACCACCAGGAGUGGAGCCUGCGGCUUAAUUUGACUCAACACGGGAAAACUUACCAGG
rnacentral:ncRNA from 1 species